rnacentral:rRNA from 1 species
GUUGGGUAGGGGAGCGUUCUGUAAGCCUGCGAAGGUGGCCUGUGAGGGUUGCUGGAGGUAUCAGAAGUGCGAAUGCUGACAUAAGUAACGAUAAAGCGGGUGAAAAGCCCGCUCGCCGGAAGACCAAGGGUUCCUGUCCAACGUUAAUCGGGGCAGGGUGAGUCGACCCCUAAGGCGAGGCCGAAAGGCGUAGUCGAUGGGAAACGGGUUAAUAUUCCCGUACUUGGUGUUACUGCGAAGGGGGGACGGAGAAGGCUAUGUUGGCCGGGCGACGGUUGUCCCGGUUUAAGCGUGUAGGUGUGUGUUCCAGGUAAAUCCGGUUCACUUUAACACUGAGGCGUGACGACGAGGCACUACGGUGCUGAAGCAACAAAUGCCCUGCUUCCAGGAAAAGCCUCUAAGCAUCAGGUAACAUCAAAUCGUACCCCAAACCGACACAGGUGGUCAGGUAGAGAAUACCAAGGCGCUUGAGAGAACUCGGGUGAAGGAACUAGGCAAAAUGGUGCCGUAACUUCGGGAGAAGGCACGCUGACACGUAGGUGAAGUGAUUUACUCAUGGAGCUGAAGUCAGUCGAAGAUACCAGCUGGCUGCAACUGUUUAUUAAAAACACAGCACUGUGCAAACACGAAAGUGGACGUAUACGGUGUGACGCCUGCCCGGUGCCGGAAGGUUAAUUGAUGGGGUCAGCGCAAGCGAAGCUCCUGAUCGAAGCCCCGGUAAACGGCGGCCGUAACUAUAACGGUCCUAAGGUAGCGAAAUUCCUUGUCGGGUAAGUUCCGACCUGCACGAAUGGCGUAAUGAUGGCCAGGCUGUCUCCACCCGAGACUCAGUGAAAUUGAACUCGCUGUGAAGAUGCAGUGUACCCGCGGCAAGACGGAAAGACCCCGUGAACCUUUACUAUAGCUUGACACUGAACAUUGAGCCUUGAUGUGUAGGAUAGGUGGGAGGCUUUGAAGCGUGGACGCCAGUCUGCGUGGAGCCGACCUUGAAAUACCACCCUUUAAUGUUUGAUGUUCUAACGUGGACCCGUUACCCGGGUUGCGGACAGUGUCUGGUGGGUAGUUUGACUGGGGCGGUCUCCUCCUAAAGAGUAACGGAGGAGCACGAAGGUUGGCUAAUCCUGGUCGGACAUCAGGAGGUUAGUGCAAUGGCAUAAGCCAGCUUGACUGCGAGCGUGACGGCGCGAGCAGGUGCGAAAGCAGGUCAUAGUGAUCCGGUGGUUCUGAAUGGAAGGGCCAUCGCUCAACGGAUAAAAGGUACUCCGGGGAUAACAGGCUGAUACCGCCCAAGAGUUCAUAUCGACGGCGGUGUUUGGCACCUCGAUGUCGGCUCAUCACAUCCUGGGGCUGAAGUAGGUCCCAAGGGUAUGGCUGUUCGCCAUUUAAAGUGGUACGCGAGCUGGGUUUAGAACGUCGUGAGACAGUUCGGUCCCUAUCUGCCGUGGGCGCUGGAGAACUGAGGGGGGCUGCUCCUAGUACGAGAGGACCGGAGUGGACGCAUCACUGGUGUUCGGGUUGUCAUGCCAAUGGCACUGCCCGGUAGCUAAAUGCGGAAGAGAUAAGUGCUGAAAGCAUCUAAGCACGAAACUUGCCCCGAGAUGAGUUCU